rnacentral:rRNA from 1 species
AAACCGGCACCUCAAGUGGUCAGGAUGAUUAUUGGGCCUAAAGCAUCCGUAGCCGGCUCUGUAAGUUUUCGGUUAAAUCUGUACGCUCAACGUACAGGCUGUCGGGAAUACUGCAGAGCUAGGGAGUGGGAGAGGUAGACGGUACUCGGGAGGAAGUGGUAAAAUGCUUUGAUCUCUCGAUGACCACCUGUGGCGAAGGCGGUCUACCAGAACACGUCCGACGGUGAGGGAUGAAAGCUGGGGGAGCAAACCGGAUUAGAAACCCCUGUAGUCC